UAUUCAAGUUUCUGCCCUAUCAGCUUUCGAUGGUAGUGUAUUGGACUACCAUGGCAGUAACGGGUAACGAAGAAUUAGGGUUCGAUUUCGGAGAGGGAGCAUGAGAAACGGCUACCACAUCUAAGGAAGGCAGCAGGCGCGUAAAUUACCCAAUCCUGACUCAGGGAGGUAGUGACAAGAAAUAGCAAACCGGGAACCUCAUGGUUUCACGGUAUUGCAAUGAGAACAAUUUAAAACCCUUAGCGAGAAUCAAGUGGAGGACAAGUCUGGUGCCAGCACCCGCGGUAAUUCCAGCUCCACUAGCGUAUAUUAAAGUUGUUGCAGUUAAAAAGCUCGUAGUUGAACCUCUGUCUGGGGCUAGUUUUGGCUUUGGUCAGGCUAGUUCUAGGCAUCCGCCUACAAGACUUAGAGGGCAUUCAGUUGUUCACUAGGAGGAGUAGGCAUUUUACUUUGAAAAAAUUAGAGUGUUUAAGGCAGGCAAUCGCCCGCAUAUAUUAGCAUGGAAUAAUAGAAUAGGACACUUUUCCAUUUCGUUGGUUAUUGGAAUCGUGUAAUGAUUAAUAGGGACAGUUGUGGGCAUUUGUAUUUAAUUGUCAGAGGUGAAAUUCUUGGAUUUAUUAAAGACAAACUAACGCGAAAGCAUUUGCCAAGGAUGUUUUCAUUAAUCAAGAACGAAAGUUAGGGGAUCAAAGACGAUCAGAUACCGUCCUAGUCUUAACUAUAAACUAUUCCGACUCAAUGUUUGACUGGCUUAUAUAACCAGUUGAGCGUUGUAUGAGAAAUCAAAGUCUUUAGGUUCUGGGGGGAGUAUGGUUGCAAAGCUGAAACUUAAAGGAAUUGACGGAAGAGCACAACCAGGAGUGGAUUCUGCGGCUUAAUUUGACUCAACACGGGGAAACUUACCAGGUUAAAACAAUAGUGGGAUUGACAGUUUGAGAGCGCUUUCUUGAUUGGUUGGGUGGUGGUGCAUGGCCGUUCUUAGUUGGUGGAGUGAUUUGUCUGCUUAAUUGCGUUAACGAACGAGACCUUAACCUGCUUACUAGACUGGCGAUCAUCAAUCGUUAGCUCUUCUUAGAGGGACUUUGGUUGUUUUAACUCCAAGGAAGUUUGAGGCAAUAACAGGUCUGUGAUGCCCUUAGAUAUCCUGGGCCGCACGCGUCAUACAAUGACUAGUUCAGAAAGUUUUCUCCUGACCCGAAAGGGGAUGGGUAAUCUUGAUAAUACUAGUCGUGUUAGGGAUCGAUCUUUGCAAUUAUAGAUCUUGAACGAGGAAUUCCUAGUAAGUGCGGUUCAUCAGACCGUACUGAUUACGUCCCUGCUCUUUGUACACACCGCCCGUCGCUUCUACCGAGUGGGUGGUCCGGUGAGAUAAUUGAACUUC
rnacentral:rRNA from 1 species